rnacentral:tRNA from 1 species
GGGCCCGUAGCUUAGCCAGGUAGAGCGCCCUGGGGCGAAGGCCCCGCGUAAGGCUCAUAACCGGGAGGUCCCGGGUUCGAAUCCCGGCGGGCCCA